AUGGCCGUCGUGGUCGUCACGGUCGUCAUCGCGGCGACGCGUGCGGAAGUCCCGACAGCCAUCGCCGCUGCCGCGCGCACGGGGUGCGCCACCCGUCGUAGUGCCGCGGGAGUCGAACUCCCCCGGGAUAAGGACGCCGUUAGUGGAGACCGGGGCGUGGCCGCCGAUGGUGCCGCGGUGGCACGGUGGGAAGACCGAUGUCGGCGGGGAGUAGGGCACGGGCCUGCCGUCCUCCGUCUCCCAAUCGAAAGGGGCCGAGGUGUAGUCCUCGACGUGCUCCAGGUGCACCAGAACCCGAAAAGUGGCGCCGCGGAGACAGCGCGCUGGCUGCCUCGGAGUGACACGCACGCCGUCCGGCGCGCGCGACGUAAACGUCAGCCAGACCACCUUCGAAAUCCAACUCGGGUUGCUCGUCCAUGCCCACAGACCGAUCUCGCGCGUGUCCGUCAUGGAGAUGGAGCGCUCGUCCAUGACGUCGAGGGUGCAGGUGCGCCCGAUGACCCGCUCAACGAUGGAGUGCGUCCAGACAUAGGUCGGCACCCCAUCCAGAAGCAGCCUCGCGCGGAAAGGCAUGGCCGCGCCCAGCGCAUGAGCCAGCGGCCGCCACGGCCUGACGAAGACUUGCGUGUCGUCAUUCAUCUUCAGCCGGCCCUUGUCCAGUGCGACAGUGCACAUCUCCUUGCUCUCGAACUUGAGGAGGAAUUCCUCCGGGUAGUGGCUGCUGACGACCACGUCGCCCCCACGCAGGCGGAGAUGGUCCCAAAGGAGGCGCUCCACAGCAGCAGGAGCGAGCCGGCGCGACGCAUCCGCGGCCCAGGCGAUGGCCGCCGUCUGCUCCCAGGUGCGCCUGUCGCGGUCGAGCUCGAACGUGGCGGCGAUGAUGCAAGUGUCCUCCUCGGGCCUGGACUCCGGCGCGCCAAGGCCGUGCUGCGCCAUGGCAACAGAGGCCAGCUCGGGGAGACGUCAGGGAGGGGGAGGGCAGCCGUGGCGUGGGGAAGAGACAACGUCCGCCCAGGACCGCCCGUCGCCCGGCCUGCUGGAGGAAGGAGGGCGAGGACGAGGUGGUGGAGGAGGCGGCGGCACGUCACGCACCGGGCAGAGGCGAGCGCGGUGACCAAGCCCGUCGUAGUCCAGGCAGCGCAGCGGCUCACGGCAGGAACGAGCGCGGUGGUACUUGCUGAGGCAGCGAAAGCACCGCCCGCGCGUCCUCCUUAA
rnacentral:rRNA from 1 species